rnacentral:rRNA from 1 species
GAUGAACGCUGGCGGCGUGCCUAAUACAUGCAAGUCGAGCGAACAGACGAGGAGCUUGCUCCUCUGACGUUAGCGGCGGACGGGUGUGUAACACGUGGAUAACCUACCUAUAAGACUGGGAAAACUUCGGGAAACCGGAGCUAAUACCGGAUAAUAUAUUGAACCGCAUGGUUCAAUAGUGAAAGACGGUUUUGCUGUCACUUAUAGAUGGUUCCGGGCCGCAUUAGCUAGUUGGUAAGGUAACGGCUUACCAAGGCAACGAUGCGUAGCCGACCGGAGAGGGGGGUCGGCCGCACUGGAACUCGACCACGGACCAGGGUCCUACGGGAGGGAGCAGAAGGGAACGGGACGCAAUGGGCGGAAGCCUGACGCAACAGCGGCACGUGAGUGAUGACAGUCUUCGGAUCGUAAAACUGUGUUAUGAGGGAUGAACAAAUGUGUACGUAACUAUGCACGGCUUGACGGUACCUAAUCAGAAAGCCACGGCUAACUACGUG